AAACAUCUCCUCCUUUCUUCACUAUUCCUUCCCCCUAAACCUACUCUAGCCCAAAAGGACUUUCCAAGAUUUGAGAAAAUUAUUUACAUAUUUUAGAAGAUACAUGAAAGGAUCACUAGAGAUUUAGAUCGGAUGGGAUGGUUUGCUCAGAGCAAAAUCAGAUCUAUCUUAGCUCUCCUCAGAUUGAUCUUUUUUUCUUUUCUUUUUUUUUUGUUGGUUCCCAGCUUUUGUUUUUCUAGCUGCUGCUACUUAGAUCCGGAGAACAUAAUUAAAUUCGUAUUCUUUUAAUUGUUGAUUUGUACUCAUCAAUGCUACACUGUUUGGUCUUUAACUUUAUAAUAUCUCAUUGGGAUCGAUUGAGAGAAAAGAGAAAGCUUCUCUUUGUUAUUUUAGUUGUUCUUCCUGAUGUCUCAUUAGUCUCAUUUUAUUUAAUUUUAGUUCUUUAUGUCUUCAACUCAUAUUUCUUUGUUCUUUAAUCUAAUUUUACAAGUUUAUGGCUUUCUCAUUCAAUUCCCCUCUAUGGGUCUCUUUGAGGUGAUUGCCGAAACUACAAAAGAGAAGCAAUUUUGGAUACAAAAGAAAAGUAAUUUUGGGUGGCCUCAUUGAGUGCAUUGAGACCCAUUUACUUCAACUGAGAUUAUUGGAUGGGACUUUUGUCUCAGUCUCAUUUUUCUUUUUUUUCAUUCAUGUGGAUUAGAAAAAGAAAUAUAUGCCCAAUUCUAUUCUCCUAUCUUUCCUUAAGAACUUCUUUAAGCGUUGCAUUAUUGUUAGUUUAAUUUAUCACACCAUGAUUUCUAGGCUCUUCUUAAUAAAUAUUUUUUUUGGGGUACUAUGUCUUCUAUUAUUUGUAUUUGUUUUUGUUUUUGACCUCCCCUUGCUAUUGUUUUUAGUGUAUAUUUUUGGCUAUUCCUCACAUAUUUGUUGCUUGCUAUGAUGAGAAAAGAAUAAAAAAAAAAAAGAAGAUAAAAACAUUGGGUAGCCUACAUAGUUGGCAUCCAUUAGAUGAUUUCCUUGGCCUGCUAAACAAUAACCGAAGCUAAAAGAGUUUUACAUUGCAUUUGCAGUGAAAGGGUUUUAUAUUGCGUUUACAACAUAUGUAAUAAUAGUUCACAACACUUUGGUUCAAUGUUAGCUUUGUUCUUGAGUUUUGUUCCCAGAUUUCAUUAUUGCUGAGUAGAGCUGCGUUCGGUUCGGGUAUAAGUAAGAACUGCUAGUUACUGGGAUAGGUACAAGUUCAGGUAUAAGCAGGAACUAGACUAACUUUGCGUUUGGAUGAAAAUUGGGUUGUUCCUAGGAAUAAGAUAAAUAGUGUUUGGAUGGUUAGAUUGGAAUAAGAGGAAUAAGAGUUAUAAUUUGAAUUAAAAUUAUAUUAUGUAAUUAAUCAUAAAUAAUAAAUUAAUUAAUUAUUUAAUUAUUAAAGCAAUAAAUAAUGAUUUAAAUAUAUUAAUUAGAUUAAUUAAUAAUUUACUGACAUUAAAAUUAAAUUUAGAUUUCAAGAUUCUCAUCAAGAAACAAGUUUGUUCCAGGAAACGGGUGAAACAACAGUUUCAGCCUUAUAUCAGCUUGUUUCAAAAACUUAAAAAUUACUGUUUUCGGGAACCAAACAUACUGUUUGGAAACAAAGGGGGGAACAAGGG
rnacentral:lncRNA from 1 species